rnacentral:misc_RNA from 1 species
GAUGAAGAACGUAGCGAAAUGCGAUAAGUAGUGUGAAUUGCAGAAUUCCGUGAAUCAUCGAAUCUUUGAACGCACAUUGCGCCUUCUGGUAUUCCGGAAGGCAUGCCUGUUCGAGAGUCAUUAACAACCGUUUCGAUCCCUUUCUUUCAGAAAUUACAAAGAGGAAAAGGGUUUGGUUAUGGUGGAGGAGGGAAAGGGAGCGUUUAGCCUGUAAAAAAAGAGGCUGUGUUCCGCCGCCCCACCAAAAUUGUACAGGCGGUCGUGUGCGCCCACGCAUCGAGGUGUUGUAAAAGCUGCCACGGCACUUUUCACCUGUGCAGUGCGAGAUUGGCCAGCCGGUUUAAAAACCCCUCCAAACAAUCAAAGGUUGACCUCGGAUCAGGUAGGGAUACCCGCUGAACUUAAGCAUAUCAAUAAGCGGAGGA